rnacentral:rRNA from 1 species
CAGCAGCCGCGGUAAUACCGGCGGCCCGAGUGGCGGCCACUAUUAUUGGGCCUAAAGCGUCCGUAGCCGGGCUGGUAAGUCCUCCGGGAAAUCUGGUCGCUUAACGAUCAGACUUCCGGAGGAUACUGCUGGCCUAGGGACCGGGAGAGGCCGAGGGUAUUCCCGGGGUAGGGGUGAAAUCCUGUAAUCCCGGGAGGACCACCUGUGGCGAAGGCGCUCGGCUGGAACGGGUCCGACGGUGAGGGACGAAGGCCAGGGGAGCGAACCGGAUUAGAUACCCGGGUAGUCCUGGCUGUAAACGAUGCGGACUAGGUGUCGGGCAAGCUAAGGGCUUGUCCGGUGCCGCAGGGAAGCCGUUAAGUCCGCCGCCUGGGGAGUACGGCCGCAAGGCUGAAACUUAAAGGAAUUGGGGG